CGUUUUCUUUUCUCGUCUCUUUCUGGUGGAUGGUGGUGAUUGUGGUGGUGGUGGUGCUGCUACUACUACUAUUACUACUACUACUACUACUACUACUACUACUACUACUACUACAAUUCCUCUUCCUGUUCUUCCUCGUUCUUCUCCUUUUCCUCUUACACCCACUUCAUCUUCCUCCCUAACCCACUCCCACACACCUACACACCCCCAAUACACCCCUGUACACCCCCCAAACACCUCCAAACACCUCCAACCCUCUAGUUUCUUACAUCAAGAGCCUCGAUAUUUGGAGUGAUCCUGUGCCACCUGUACCAUCAAGAUCAAGAUCAAGUAUAGACGCCACAACAGUUCCCCCGUGUUUACUCUUACGACUGCCUAGAAAUCUUGUUUUUCGAAAAUUUCCCAAGUAAUUCCCCACCCCGGAGGCCGCCCCCAGUAAACCUGUUCCCUGCAUCCAUGAAUUAAUUGAUGAGCUACAGAACUACAGCAUCGUUCAGGUGGCAGCUGGAGAUCAGCACUCUCUUGCUCUCACCUCCUGGGGCCUGGCAUGAUGAAGGCGUCAGGCGAUAAACAGUGCACACGCGGGACUGAGUCACUCAGUAAACACAGUGCAGUGGGCCGCGGGUGGCGCGAAGCAGUGCGCUCUGGUGGCGAGGGGACAAAGUAUGCCUUGCGCGGGAAUUUUAAUCGAUUUUAUCUACGCAUGGGGUGACAAUGGGUACGGUCAGCUUGGCGUCAACUCCUGCGACAGUCACAUUGCCACACCCAAGCUUGUCGAGAGUCUGGCCAGGAAGGUGACAGUGCAGCUGGCCUGUGGCGCCAACCACACCCUUGCCUUGACUGCUGACGGUGAAUUGUACACUUGGGGACAAAAUACCUUCGGCCAGUUGGGACUUAGACACCAACAGGGGCCCCAGAAGGACCCUGCCCUGGUGACCUCCUUGGCUGGCACCCCCUUAGUCCUGCUGGCCGCUGCGGGUCACCACUCUGCUGCCGUGACCCAGGCCGGCUACCUGCUGUUGUGGGGGUCAAACAAGCAGGGUCAACUGGGCUAUACUCCCAAGGGUGAUCCUCUUGUAUGUAAUGUGGUGGUACAGAUACUGAAUUCAGCUCACCAAUCUAGCUCUGAGAGAGACCAGCGUGCCCUCGUGUCUUCCCUGCGGCUGUUGUCCCUGGUCCACGGUCUGAACUUCCAAGCCGGCUGCCGAGUGGGGUGGUUGAACUACGACGACUUUUACAUCCCAGAAAUUGCAGAGAAAAUUGAUAUUAGGAAUGAUUACUUGAACUGGAUGAACAGCAGGCUUCACCCGAUGUCCAGGAGGGAGAGUCCAAUCCUGUUCUGUGAGUAUCCAUUCUUGUUCGACCCUCAGGCCAAGAUGCUGCUGCUCAGGUGUGACGCCACUCGUCAGAUGAGAACGAGGCAUUGUGUGUGGACUGGCAAUCUACAACUUCACCAUCAUCAACCUGCCCUUCCCAAUUGCACUGUACAAGAAGUUACUGUGAGAGACUGUAGGCUUGGAUGACCUUGCCGACCUUGACCCGCAGCUGACCAGGUCACUGCGAGAUCUGCUGGAGUACGAGGGAGGUGACGAGGAGGAAGUUUAUGGCCUCGACUUCACUUUGACCCAGGAUUACUUUGGGGAGUGCAAGAGUGUCCCCCUGAAGGCUGGAGGGGAGGAGAUGUCAGUCACACAGCAGAACAAUGUUGCCACGGUGACGGUGGUGGUGGGCAUGAUACAGAUGCGGGAGCUGGAGUUUGUGCCCGAUGGAGACAUGCAGCUGGACAAAUUCUGUUGCUCAUUGCUCAGACUGGAGUUUACAUGUAUACCUCCUUCACCAUCAUUGGUGGACACUUCACCAUGAGUGAUGCUUGAGCUGUCAUGGUGCUGCUGCUGUUGUCUGCCAUCAUCCCCCUGACACAGACCACCCUGCAGACCAUCUUCAUCCUGGGUGCCACACGUCACUGCUGCUACAACUCAGAGCAACUGGAGCGCAAGCCAGGAAGGGAGAUAGUAACUUUUCACUUAAUCUGUUGUUUAUUUGAGGGCCUAAUGACAGACACAUAAUGGAAUGAGUAUUUGUGAAUGUUUGUUUAUAUCUAGAUACAGCAUUCACAUAUCUUUUAAGUGCCACCUUCCAAAAACAAUGUCAGCCAGAAAAAUAACUGAUGAAUCUAAUUACAUUUCAAGUCAAAAAGUUUUCCUUUAACCACUUUGCUCCAGAUGCUUAAAAACAUGCGUUGCUCACAUACAUGGCGUCGCGUAGGCUCGUGAGUGGUAACUUAUCUAAUUUCUAAUAAUUUCUAAUAUAAUUUCUGUGUGUGUGUGUGUGUGUGUGUGUGUGUGUGUGUUUUAUGUAUGAGUGACACUGGCCAAGGGCAACAAAAAUCCAAUAAAAAAAUAUGCCCACUGAAAUGGCAGUCCCAUAAAAGGGUCAAAGCAGUGGUCAAAAGUUGAUGAAUAAGUGUCUUAAAACCUCCCUCUUGAAGGAAUUCAAGUCAUAGGAAGGUGGAAAUACAGAAGCAGGCAGGGAGUUCCAGAGUUUACCAGAGAAAGGGAUGAAUGAUUGAGAAUACUUGUUAACUCUUGCAUUAGAGAAGUGGACAGAAUAGGGGUGAGAGAAAGAAGAAAAUCUUGUGCAGCGAGGCCGUGGAAGGAGGGGAGGCAUGCAGUUAGCAAGAUCAGAAGAGCAGUUAGCAUGAAAAUAGCGGUAGAAGACAGCUAGAGAUGCAACAUUGCGGCGGUGAGAGAGAGGCUGAAGACAGUCAGUUAUGUUUAUGUGUGUGUGUGUGUGUGUGUGUGUGUGUGUGUGUGUGUGUGUGUGUGUGUGUGUGUGUGUGUGUGUGUGUGUGUGUGUGCGCGCGCUGAUGCAGCUGAGAAGGUUGCCUUAUGAUAAUUAUUGACAAAUGAAGGUAAUGGAUGCGCAUGUCAUUACUACUUUUUUAAGUGUGUGUGUAUGUGUGUGUGUUAUGUACACACACACACACACACACACACACACACACACACACACACACACACACACACACACACACACACACAAAGAGAAGUAAUAGACACGCAUCCUUUACCUUCAUUCAUCAAUAAUUGUCAUAAGACGACCUUCCCAGCUGCAUCAUUACACACACACACACACACACACACACACACACACACACCACGUAGUGUAGUGGUUAGCACGCUCGGCUCACAACCAAGAAGGCCCAGGUUCGAAUCCCGGGCACGGUGAGGCAGAUGGACAAGCCUCUUAAUGUGUAGCCCUCUUAAUGUGUAGCCUCUUAAUGUGUAGGUACAGGAUGUAACCCGAGGUGAUGUGACUUAGCUGCCCCGGUGUGUGGUGUGUCAUUGGCCUCAGUCCUACCCAAAGAUCAGUCACCAUGAGCUCUGAGCUCUUACACACACACACACACACACACACACACACACACACACACACACACACACACACACACAGAGAGAGAGAGAGAGAGAGAGAGAGAGAGAGCAAAAUGGCAAUGAAUGAAACAGGGAGGAGGGGGAACUGUGUGUGAAGGAAAACAUCAUCUACGUGAAACAUUUGAUUGAUUAUAAAGCACAUGUGCAUCAUAUAUAGUCAUGAAUGUGGAGGAACAGCAGAGUGAGUGAUCAACCACAGAAAGGAGAGAGUCGGACAUGCGGAGAGAAUGGAAGGGGAACAAUUUGAGAAGAUAAGCAUGCAAAUACAUAAAUAUAAGGUGGAAUAACAGUGUUUGGUGGGAAGAUGAAAGAGAGAUGCCUGUUUAUGAAGCAAAAUGGUUGUGCAAGAGAGGAAUGAUUGGAAAACCAUUCCCACCAUAGCCAACAGACCUUACACCAUAUUUUUACAAACCACAGCAUCUCUAUUCAUCCAUUCUGUGUGUCUUCUCUUCUCUCUCUCUCUCCACUCUUAAUGCUGCUGUGGGUCUCUGGGCUGGAGUGCAUCAGAGAAAGAUUGACACCGACUUAUAUAUGAGAGGAUGUUGUCUGUAACUAUGCUAUGGGGACAUUGCAAGUUUGUGGGGUGUAGUGAAUGAAUAAGUGUGUCCUCUAUAGCAUACUUAAAAACCACACUCUCACAUGGAAAUCAAUCUCUCUCUCUCUCUCUCUCUCUCUCUCUCUCUCUCUCUCUCUCUCUCUCUCUCUCUCUCUCUCUCUCUCUCUCUCUCUCUCUCUCUCUCUCUCUCUCUCUCUCUCUCUCUCUCUCUCUCUCUCUCUCUUUUUCUUUCUUUCUUUUGUUGCAUAUUUUACUCCUUUACAUUCUUCCCUACAGUAUUUUUUCGUCUACUUUAUGACUGGAGUCGUUUUAUCAUCCCAAUGUAUGUCCCAUCCAUUCUGAAACUGUAAUUCACCAUUCAGCUCAAAUGUGUCUCAGUUUUGAUAAUCAUUAAUUUGUUUCAGCUACACAACCACUCUGAUAAGGGACAAAUCUACUUCACCAGUCAUCUAUGUCAUACAGUCAUAUAUUCAUACAUAUGACAAAAUGCUUUUCCUAAGACAUUUCUUAUUUUCUCUUCUCAAGUGACCUGUCCAUCUAUCUAAGGUACCACAUAAUAUUUAAAACUUACAAUAUUGCAUUUAAUUCAUGAACAUUUUUUUGUCUAUGUAGACUUGAAAUUAUAUUGCGUAUAGACUUGAAAUGUAUUGCGAGUUUUCUCUAUCUCUCAUUCUAUACCUAACACCUGUUCCUAAGAAUCCCCAGGUGAUAGCCAUGGUGACUGGCUGGUCUCCUACUGAGUGGCUGGGGUUUUCCAAAAGUGAGGGUUGGUGUUCUAUACCAUACCAUGUGCCCUGUUUGUAUUCCUUCUCUAUCCUCUGUAUUAUAUUCUAUCUAAAGAUGGUGCUGGGGUGGGAUCUAGUUCUUAUUCCCUAAAAGUGAUGAGGAGUGACACUGGGCAGCAUUAAUUUACUCCUUAGAGAUGGCUGGGUUCCUGUGGAUGAGUGGGCCAUGCUGUGCUUUGUCAAGGAUGGUGUUUGGUAUUGUGAUGACUCUUGCCACAAUCAAGUGUCUCCCACAGAGUAGUGGAGUACCUAUGUAUGGUGUUGACCCAAGCUGUCCAGGUCUCAUCCAAUGCCUUAAUAUGAUUUAGAUGAUCAAAAUGGUUUAACUCACCAUUUAAUCAGCUGACUGAUUUGAAUGGAGAAGUAUGUAAUGUGUUGUAGCCUAACCAUCCCUGCCAGCAUGGUCAGACUCUUGGUAGUAACCUGAAAUGCUCCUAGGUAGUGAGUAUCAUUGCACAUAAUGAUCUUUACUUUGUCAGUAAUUCAAUGAUACUGAAUAUUACUCUACUGGAUUUUGCUCAGCACUGCUUGGUAACUUUUGGCCAUAAUCCCAGGUCUGGAAUGAUAUGAAGCCAUGUUUUUACAUUCUAUAUGAGACAGGCAAGCACUAUGCUUUGCCUGACUGAUACCUCUACUUUGCAUUUAUGACCCCAGGUAGUUCAUCACUCUCUCUCUCUCUCUCUCUCUCUCUCUCUCUCUCUCUCUCUCUCUCUCUCUCUCUCUCUCUCUCUCUCUCUCUCUCUCUCUCUCUCUCUCUCUCUCUCUCUCUCUCUCUCUCUCUCUCUCUCUCUCUCUCUCUCUCUCUCUCUCUCUCUCUCUCUCUCUCUCUCUCUCUCUGUUUGGAAUUAUACUGUAUAUUAGGAAAUAUCAUUAAAGAGUGUGUGUGUGUGUGUGUAAAAAGUGUUUGCAUUAUUGUGCAUUUGAUGUUAUAGCCCCAGGUUCUUAAAGUUUUCUAGUUUCAUGAUUUAUAAAGAUUGCUAUUUUUAAUAAAGUUAUUGAAAUUGUUAUUGAGUGUUUGUAUUGAACUCAUUAGCUUUGUAAUAGUGUGCGUCUCAUCAUGCGUUCAUUAAUGAUGUAGAGUGGAAAUGUCCACUCCUAUCAUGAAUAAUAUCAAUGCAUUAUUGGUUUAUGUUGUUAUUUGUGUAUAAAUUGUAAAGUUAUGCCAGUCUAUUUUAGUACAAACUAAAUAUCAGCUGGAAGAGAGGACAGGUAAUGGCACACUAAAACACAGGAAGGGACAAUGAUAUAACCAUCCAAUUUAACAAUACACAGAGCAAGAAGAAUGAGAAAGCAAUAAAAAUGGAUUAUUUAA